rnacentral:rRNA from 1 species
UGGGGAAUUUUGGACAAUGGGCGCAAGCCUGAUCCAGCCAUGCCGCGUGUGGGAAGAAGGCCUUCGGGUUGUAAACCACUUUUGUCAGGGAAGAAACGGCCUGAUCUAAUACAUUGGGUUAAUGACGGUACCUGAAGAAUAAGCACCGGCUAACUACGUGCCAGCAGCCGCGGUAAUACGUAGGGUGCGAGCGUUAAUCGGAAUUACUGGGCGUAAAGCGUGCGCAGGCGGCUUUGCAAGACAGAUGUGAAAUCCCCGGGCUCAACCUGGGAACUGCAUUUGUGACUGCAAGGCUAGAGUACGGUAGAGGGGGAUGGAAUUCCGCGUGUAGCAGUGAAAUGCGUAGAUAUGCGGAGGAACACCGAUGGCGAAGGCAAUCCCCUGGACCUGUACUGACGCUCAUGCACGAAAGCGUGGGGAGCAAACAGGAUUAGAUACCCUCGUAGUCCCUGAGCGGGCUGGCAAGGCGCAU